rnacentral:tRNA from 1 species
GAGGGUAGCUUAGUGGUAGAGCAUUUGCUUAGCAUGCGUGUGGCCCUGGGUUCAAUUCCUAGCACCUUA